rnacentral:rRNA from 1 species
UGGAUAAGUAUUGCAAGUCGAACGGAAGUAGUUUGUAGCAAUAUGAGCUGCUUUAGUGGCAAACGGGUGCGUAACACGUAGAUUACAUUCCGGAGAGUGUGGAAUAGCCCAGGGAAACUUGGUGUAAUACCACAUGUUGUCGAAAGACAAAAAGAAGCUUGCUUCUGCUCUCUGAUUGGUCUGCGGCCUAUCAGCUAGUUGGUGAGGUAAUGGCUCACCAAGGCAACGACGGGUAGCUGGUCUGAGAGGAUGGCCAGCCACACUGGAACUGAGACACGGUCCAGACACCUACGGGUGGCAGCAGUCGAGAAUCUUUCACAAUGGGGGGAACCCUGAUGGAGCGACGCCGCGUGGAGGAUACAGUCUUCGGAUUUUAAACUCCUGACAUGCGAGAACAAAGCCUUCGGGUCUGAUAGUAUCGCAAGAGGAAGAGGCGGCUAACUCUGUGCCAGCAGCCGCGGUAAUACAGAGGCCUCAAGCGUUGUUCGGAAUCACUGGGCGUAAAGGGUGCGUAGGCGUCCGGCUAAGUCAGUUGUAAAGUCCUGCGCUCACGCAGUGUGUGCAAUUGAUACUGGUUGGAUU